UUCCGGUUGAUCCUGCCGGAGGCCAUUGCUAUCGGAGUCCGAUUUAGCCAUGCUAGUUGUGCGGGUUUAGACCCGCAGCGGAAAGCUCAGUAACACGUGGCCAAGCUACCCUGUGGACGGGAAUACUCUCGGGAAACUGAGGCUAAUCCCCGAUAACGCUUUGCUCCUGGAAGGGGCAAAGCCGGAAACGCUCCGGCGCCACAGGAUGCGGCUGCGGUCGAUUAGGUAGACGGUGGGGUAACGGCCCACCGUGCCCAUAAUCGGUACGGGUUGUGAGAGCAAGAGCCCGGAGACGGAAUCUGAGACAAGAUUCCGGGCCCUACGGGGCGCAGCAGGCGCGAAACCUUUACACUGUACGAAAGUGCGAUAAGGGGACUCCGAGUGUGAAGGCAUAGAGCCUUCACUUUUGUACACCGUAAGGUGGUGCACGAAUAAGGACUGGGCAAGACCGGUGCCAGCCGCCGCGGUAAUACCGGCAGUCCGAGUGAUGGCCGAUCUUAUUGGGCCUAAAGCGUCCGUAGCUGGCUGAACAAGUCCGUUGGGAAAUCUGUCCGCUUAACGGGCAGGCGUCCAGCGGAAACUGUUCAGCUUGGGACCGGAAG
rnacentral:rRNA from 1 species